rnacentral:tRNA from 1 species
ACCGAAAUAGCUCAGUUGGCAGAGCGUUAGACUUCGGAGCGGAAGGUCCCUGGUUCGAUCCCGGGUUUCGGCA